rnacentral:lncRNA from 1 species
AUUCAGUUCUUCUAUCAUGAGUUCCAACAAGAUGGAGGUUAUGAAAAACUCAUCAAACUCCUUCGUAUCAUAUGUAAGAUUUAUUCGAUUCAAGUUCAUUUGUGAAAUCUCAUUGAAACUUCUUUUCAUGAUUCACUCUGUCCUGGUCAGAGUCUUCUGAACUCAGUCUCAUAAAUCACAUAGGACUUCUCCUUAUCUACUAAGAUCGAUAGAUCUCAUCUAGGUAUAUAUCAUAUUCCUACAACGAACUUACUGUAGUCAACAUACACCACAA